rnacentral:lncRNA from 1 species
ACAGAAUAGCAUACCACCAACUAAACUACAGUCUGGGCUUCUCUAUUUUUACCUCAGAACUCAUAUGGUCUGUGUUCUGCUUCUCAGUCCCAGUCACUUUCUUCCUUUCUUAGUUGUCCAGUGGGACUAACAACAUAUGCCAAUGCACAGAGACCACAUUGGGGGAAUACAUGCAGUAGCAUGCUGCAGGCACUGAGUAUCUGGAGACAAAGGGGACAAUUUUUCUGCAGCUGAAAUAUUGUAAAGAUGAUUAACCUAAGCUAUUUUUGAAUCUGAGCCAGAGUGCAGAAAAUACUUUCUACUCUGUGUGUUCUCUGUGUUCCAUUCACUGACCUGGGUGACCAGGACCGGCCAACCAAUCAUGUUUCAAAUUCCAGAACAUGGAGCUCAUUGAUUUCAUCUGAAAGCUCUUCGCUGAGCAUCUUCCUCUUGCUUCUUUACUUUAUUUUGGUCUCAACUAGCUAUUGAUAUCAUCCAAGAAACAUCAUCAGUUCACUAAAGUAAACUGUGUCUUAAGAAAACACUGUCCUCCUCAUUGUUGAGAAGAAUAUUCUGAUUUUUUCCUCUCAUAUAUGAAUAACUGAUACCAUGGCAUAAUACGUUUAUUAGAAAGGAAGCAUUGAGGGAACAUGGCUUUUGUUUGUUUCUUUGUGUUUAGUAUCAAGAAGAGCCCACAGCAUCGAUGU